GGUUAAGCGACUAAGCGUACACGGUGGAUGCCCUGGCAGUCAGAGGCGAUGAAGGACGUGCUAAUCUGCGAUAAGCGUCGGUAAGGUGAUAUGAACCGUUAUAACCGGCGAUUUCCGAAUGGGGAAACCCAGUGUGAUUCGUCACACUAUCAUUAACUGAAUCCAUAGGUUAAUGAGGCGAACCGGGGGAACUGAAACAUCUAAGUACCCCGAGGAAAAGAAAUCAACCGAGAUUCCCCCAGUAGCGGCGAGCGAACGGGGAGCAGCCCAGAGCCUGAAUCAGUGUGUGUGUUAGUGGAAGCGUCUGGAAAGGCGCGCGAUACAGGGUGACAGCCCCGUACACAAAAAUGCACAUACUGUGAGCUCGAUGAGUAGGGCGGGACACGUGGUAUCCUGUCUGAAUAUGGGGGGACCAUCCUCCAAGGCUAAAUACUCCUGACUGACCGAUAGUGAACCAGUACCGUGAGGGAAAGGCGAAAAGAACCCCGGCGAGGGGAGUGAAAAAGAACCUGAAACCGUGUACGUACAAGCAGUGGGAGCACAGAGCAAUCUGUGUGACUGCGUACCUUUUGUAUAAUGGGUCAGCGACUUAUAUUCUGUAGCAAGGUUAACCGAAUAGGGGGAGCCGAAGGGAAACCGAGUCUUAACUGGGCGUUAAGUUGCAGGGUAUAGACCCGAAACCCGGUGAUCUCAGCCAUGGGCAGGUUGAAGGUUGGGUAACACUAACUGGAGGACCGAACCGACUAAUGUUGAAAAAUUAGCGGAUGACUUGUGGCUGGGGGUGAAAGGCCAAUCAAACCGGGAGAUAGCUGGUUCUCCCCGAAAGCUAUUUAGGUAGCGCCUCGUGAAUUCAUCUCCGGGGGUAGAGCACUGUUUCGGCAAGGGGGUCAUCCCGACUUACCAACCCGAUGCAAACUGCGAAUACCGGAGAAUGUUAUCACGGGAGACACACGGCGGGUGCUAACGUCCGUCGUGAAGAGGGAAACAACCCAGACCGCCAGCUAAGGUCCCAAAGUCAUGGUUAAGUGGGAAACGAUGUGGGAAGGCCCAGACAGCCAGGAUGUUGGCUUAGAAGCAGCCAUCAUUUAAAGAAAGCGUAAUAGCUCACUGGUCGAGUCGGCCUGCGCGGAAGAUGUAACGGGGCUAAACCAUGCACCGAAGCUGCGGCAGCGACGCUUAUGCGUUGUUGGGUAGGGGAGCGUUCUGUAAGCCUGUGAAGGUGUACUGUGAGGUAUGCUGGAGGUAUCAGAAGUGCGAAUGCUGACAUAAGUAACGAUAAAGCGGGUGAAAAGCCCGCUCGCCGGAAGACCAAGGGUUCCUGUCCAACGUUAAUCGGGGCAGGGUGAGUCGACCCCUAAGGCGAGGCCGAAAGGCGUAGUCGAUGGGAAACAGGUUAAUAUUCCUGUACUUGGUGUUACUGCGAAGGGGGGACGGAGAAGGCUAUGUUGGCCGGGCGACGGUUGUCCCGGUUUAAGCGUGUAGGCUGGUUUUCCAGGCAAAUCCGGAAAAUCAAGGCUGAGGCGUGAUGACGAGGCACUACGGUGCUGAAGCAACAAAUGCCCUGCUUCCAGGAAAAGCCUCUAAGCAUCAGGUAACAUCAAAUCGUACCCCAAACCGACACAGGUGGUCAGGUAGAGAAUACCAAGGCGCUUGAGAGAACUCGGGUGAAGGAACUAGGCAAAAUGGUGCCGUAACUUCGGGAGAAGGCACGCUGAUAUGUAGGUGAAGUCCCUCGCGGAUGGAGCUGAAAUCAGUCGAAGAUACCAGCUGGCUGCAACUGUUUAUUAAAAACACAGCACUGUGCAAACACGAAAGUGGACGUAUACGGUGUGACGCCUGCCCGGUGCCGGAAGGUUAAUUGAUGGGGUUAGCGCAAGCGAAGCUCUUGAUCGAAGCCCCGGUAAACGGCGGCCGUAACUAUAACGGUCCUAAGGUAGCGAAAUUCCUUGUCGGGUAAGUUCCGACCUGCACGAAUGGCGUAAUGAUGGCCAGGCUGUCUCCACCCGAGACUCAGUGAAAUUGAACUCGCUGUGAAGAUGCAGUGUACCCGCGGCAAGACGGAAAGACCCCGUGAACCUUUACUAUAGCUUGACACUGAACAUUGAGCCUUGAUGUGUAGGAUAGGUGGGAGGCUUUGAAGUGUGGACGCCAGUCUGCAUGGAGCCGACCUUGAAAUACCACCCUUUAAUGUUUGAUGUUCUAACGUGGACCCGUAAUCCGGGUUGCGGACAGUGUCUGGUGGGUAGUUUGACUGGGGCGGUCUCCUCCUAAAGAGUAACGGAGGAGCACGAAGGUUGGCUAAUCCUGGUCGGACAUCAGGAGGUUAGUGCAAUGGCAUAAGCCAGCUUGACUGCGAGCGUGACGGCGCGAGCAGGUGCGAAAGCAGGUCAUAGUGAUCCGGUGGUUCUGAAUGGAAGGGCCAUCGCUCAACGGAUAAAAGGUACUCCGGGGAUAACAGGCUGAUACCGCCCAAGAGUUCAUAUCGACGGCGGUGUUUGGCACCUCGAUGUCGGCUCAUCACAUCCUGGGGCUGAAGUAGGUCCCAAGGGUAUGGCUGUUCGCCAUUUAAAGUGGUACGCGAGCUGGGUUUAGAACGUCGUGAGACAGUUCGGUCCCUAUCUGCCGUGGGCGCUGGAGAAUUGAGGGGGGCUGCUCCUAGUACGAGAGGACCGGAGUGGACGCAUCACUGGUGUUCGGGUUGUCAUGCCAAUGGCACUGCCCGGUAGCUAAAUGCGGAAGAGAUAAGUGCUGAAAGCAUCUAAGCACGAAACUUGCCCCGAGAUGAGUUCUCCCUGACUCCUUGAGAGUCCUGAAGGAACGUUGAAGACGACGACGUUGAUAGGCCGGGUGUGUAAGCGCAGCGAUGCGUUGAGCUAACCGGUACUAAUGAACCGUGAGGCUUAACCUU
rnacentral:rRNA from 1 species